rnacentral:rRNA from 1 species
GAUGAACGCUGGCGGCGUGCCUAAUACAUGCAAGUCGAGCGAACGGACGAGAAGCUUGCUUCUCUGAUGUUAGCGGCGGACGGGUGAGUAACACGUGGAUAACCUACCUAUAAGACUGGGAUAACUUCGGGAAACCGGAGCUAAUACCGGAUAAUAUUUUGAACCGCAUGGUUCAAAAGUGAAAGACGGUCUUGCUGUCACUUAUAGAUGGAUCCGCGCUGCAUUAGCUAGUUGGUAAGGUAACGGCUUACCAAGGCAACGAUGCAUAGCCGACCUGAGAGGGUGAUCGGCCACACUGGAACUGAGACACGGUCCAGACUCCUACGGGAGGCAGCAGUAGGGAAUCUUCCGCAAUGGGCGAAAGCCUGACGGAGCAACGCCGCGUGAGUGAUGAAGGUCUUCGGAUCGUAAAACUCUGUUAUUAGGGAAGAACAUAUGUGUAAGUAACUGUGCACAUCUUGACGGUACCUAAUCAGAAAGCCACGGCUAACUACGUGCCAGCAGCCGCGGUAAUACGUAGGUGGCAAGCGUUAUCCGGAAUUAUUGGGCGUAAAGCGCGCGUAGGCGGUUUUUUAAGUCUGAUGUGAAAGCCCACGGCUCAACCGUGGAGGGUCAUUGGAAACUGGAAAACUUGAGUGCAGAAGAGGAAAGUGGAAUUCCAUGUGUAGCGGUGAAAUGCGCAGAGAUAUGGAGGAACACCAGUGGCGAAGGCGACUUUCUGGUCUGUAACUGACGCUGAUGUGCGAAAGCGUGGGGAUCAAACAGGAUUAGAUACCCUGGUAGUCCACGCCGUAAACGAUGAGUGCUAAGUGUUAGGGGGUUUCCGCCCCUUAGUGCUGCAGCUAACGCAUUAAGCACUCCGCCUGGGGAGUACGACCGCAAGGUUGAAACUCAAAGGAAUUGACGGGGACCCGCACAAGCGGUGGAGCAUGUGGUUUAAUUCGAAGCAACGCGAAGAACCUUACCAAAUCUUGACAUCCUUUGACAACUCUAGAGAUAGAGCUUUCCCCUUCGGGGGACAAAGUGACAGGUGGUGCAUGGUUGUCGUCAGCUCGUGUCGUGAGAUGUUGGGUUAAGUCCCGCAACGAGCGCAACCCUUAAGCUUAGUUGCCAUCAUUAAGUUGGGCACUCUAAGUUGACUGCCGGUGACAAACCGGAGGAAGGUGGGGAUGACGUCAAAUCAUCAUGCCCCUUAUGAUUUGGGCUACACACGUGCUACAAUGGACAAUACAAAGGGCAGCGAAACCGUGAGGUCAAGCAAAUCCCAUAAAGUUGUUCUCAGUUCGGAUUGUAGUCUGCAACUCGACUACAUGAAGCUGGAAUCGCUAGUAAUCGUAGAUCGAGCAUGCUACGGUGAAUACGUUCCCGGGUCU